rnacentral:rRNA from 1 species
UACGAAGGGGGCUAGCGUUGUUCGGAAUUACUGGGCGUAAAGGGCGCGUAGGCGGUGUGUCAAGUCAGGCGUGAAAGCCCCGGGCUCAACCUGGGAACCGCGCUUGAGACUGGCACGCUCGAGUUCGGGAGAGGAUGGUGGAAUUCCCAGUGUAGAGGUGAAAUUCGUAGAUAUUCGCAAGAACACCAGUGGCGAAGGCGGCUCACUGGUCCGGUACUGACGCUGAGGUGCGAAAGCGUGGGGAGCAAACAGG